AGCGUGAGUGAACAUAUGAAACAGGUCGUGAUGUUUCCUCUGGUUUUAUGUUAUAUUGGAGUAUUUCCUUCAAGAUGGUAAGCUCGUUCGUGGCUGAAGAAUCUCCUAGACGGCGUGCCCAUAAUGGCGGGAGUUGUCGCGGACGCCCACCAAGCAAUUAUUUUAUAGGUGGUUGGUUCAAACGUCUGGCCGAAAGGCGGUCGAGAAUGAUACUGCCGGCGCGAAAGCGAAAUUUUGAGUUUGUAUACCGUGCAAGUGCUAAUCACAAGUGACAGCCACAAUGACAAACUAAUGUUACCUUUUUGCGUAAAGAUACCAUGUUAACUAGGCUGAAAACCAACCUGGAAGACCCCAAAUCGUUUAUCGAAAGCAUUCAAAUUAAA
rnacentral:lncRNA from 1 species